rnacentral:rRNA from 1 species
AGCGAACGCUGGCGGCAGGCCUAACACAUGCAAGUCGAACGAACUCUUCGGAGUUAGUGGCGGACGGGUGAGUAACACGUGGGAACGUGCCUUUAGGUUCGGAAUAACUCAGGGAAGCUUGUGCUAAUACCGAAUGUGCCCCUCGGGGGAAAGAUUUAUCGCCUUCAGAGCGGCCCGCGUCUGAUUAGCUAGUUGGUGAGGUAAAGGCUAACCAAGGCGACGAUCAGUAGCUGGUCUGAGAGGAUGAUCAGCCACAUUGGGACUGAGACACGGCCCAAACUCCUACGGGAGGCAGCAGUGGGGAAUCUUGCGCAAUGGGCGGAAGCCUGACGCAGCCAUGCCGCGUGAAUGAUGAAGGUCUUAGGAUUGUAAAAUUCUUUCACCGGGGACGAUAAUGACGGUACCCGGAGAAGAAGCCCCGGCUAACUUCGUGCCAGCAGCCGCCGUAA